AGUGUGAAAGUGAGGAACAGCACAGUCCACCUUGAAAAAGAGAAGAUCAAGUCUGGAGUUUCUCUGACUUCGUCUGAAAUUGUAGGGAUGAUCAAUUUGUUUAAGAAACCUUAUAAGAAGAAAGCAGGCAAGUUCCAGCCUUUCAAGAAGUUGUUUGG